rnacentral:rRNA from 1 species
CGUCUGCUCUGAAAGCCCGGGGCUCAACCCCGGGUCUGCAGUGGGUACGGGCAGACUAGAGUGCAGUAGGGGAGACUGGAAUUCCUGGUGUAGCGGUGAAAUGCGCAGAUAUCAGGAGGAACACCGAUGGCGAAGGCAGGUCUCUGGGCUGUUACUGACGCUGAGGAGCGAAAGCAUGGGGAGCGAACAGGAUUAGAUACCCUGGUAGUCCAUGCCGUAAACGUUGGGCACUAGGUGUGGGGGACAUUCCACGUUUUCCGCGCCGUAGCUAACGCAUUAAGUGCCCCGCCUGGGGAGUACGGCCGCAAGGCUAAAACUCAAAGGAAUUGACGGGGGCCCGCACAAGCGGCGGAGCAUGCGGAUUAAUUCGAUGCAACGCGAAGAACCUUACCAAGGCUUGACAUUCACCGGACCGCCCCAGAGAUGGGGUUUCCCUUCGGGGCUGGUGGACAGGUGGUGCAUGGUUGUCGUCAGCUCGUGUCGUGAGAUGUUGGGUUAAGUCCCGCAACGAGCGCAACCCUCGUUCUAUGUUGCCAGCACGUGAUGGUGGGGACUCAUAGGAGACUGCCGGGGUCAACUCGGAGGAAGGUGGGGAUGACGUCAAAUCAUCAUGCCCCUUAUGUCUUGGGCUUCACGCAUGCUACAAUGGCCGGUACAAAGGGUUGCGAUACUGUGAGGUGGAGCUAAUCCCAAAAAGCCGGUCUCAGUUCGGAUUGAGGUCUGCAACUCGACCUCAUGAAGUCGGAGUCGCUAGUAAUCGCAGAUCAGCAACGCUGCGGUGAAUACGUUCCCGGGGCCUUGUACACACCGCCCCGUCAAGUCACGAAAAGUUGGUAACACCCCGAAGCCGGGU